UAGGGAAUCUUCCGCAAUGGGCGAAAGCCUGACGGAGCAACGCCGCGUGAGUGAUGAAGGUCUUCGGAUCGUAAAACUCUGUUAUUAGGGAAGAACAAAUGUGUAAGUAACUAUGCACGUCUUGACGGUACCUAAUCAGAAAGCCACGGCUAACUACGUGCCAGCAGCCGCGGUAAUACGUAGGUGGCAAGCGUUAUCCGGAAUUAUUGGGCGUAAAGCGCGCGUAGGCGGUUUUUUAAGUCUGAUGUGAAAGCCCACGGCUCAACCGUGGAGGGUCAUUGGAAACUGGAAAACUUGAGUGCAGAAGAGGAAAGUGGAAUUCCAUGUGUAGCAGUGAAAUGCGCAGAGAUAUGGAGGAACACCAGUGGCGAAGGCGACUUUCUGGUCUGUAACUGACGCUGAUGUGCGAAAGCGGGGGGAUCAAACAGG
rnacentral:rRNA from 1 species